GGGUGAGGGGCUGCUGGCGUGGAGGCAGCUGCCUGCUCAGCCCAGCCCAGCUGCAUUUUCUCCUCUUUCACCCUGGUGAGAACCAGCCUUCCUUCGGUUCUGCCUGAGGACCCUGUAGGUGCUGAAAAUGGAAUACAGCUGGCAGGUAGUGGGCGGACAGUGAAAACGUGCCCUGAUAUUAUUCUGAGAAAAAAAAAGAGCUUUAUUGCUUCUUGUCAGACUAUACUAUGUUUUAGGAAGAGUUGGGUUCCCCCAAAGAGAAGGUGCAGGGUGCUGGGAGCAGGAUCCUCAGUUUGUAAGAACGCACUCACUGCUCCAAGGCAGCCAACAAAAAAUUUUUAAAAAGGGUGAUUGAAGGUUCAACUUUUGACAUGUAAAAUCCAGUCAUAGCUUGGGUUUCCCGGAAGCAGUCCCUGAGACAGAGAUUUUAGUGCAACAGUUUAUUUGGGAGGCGAUCCUGGGAAACACCAGAAGGGAAGUGGAAAAUUGAAAUGUCGAAGGAAGCCAAUAAAAUAUGCGUUAUUGAGCAGAUGGCCCCUGUGACCAACUAGGCUCAGUAUCUCUGGGGAACCCCCAGAGACAGUGUAGAGUAAAUUCCAGAAUUAUGCCAUCCAAGGGAAAAGGGAGCUGAAUCAUUCAUCUCUCAGCUGUUGCAAGCUAUUGGUGGAGGGAUUUUCCCAAGAGGCAUUACCUCCCAGGCUUGUCCUCACUUUGCCUGUGUGGCCUCCAGUGGUCAGACAGAACCCAAAGGAAAAGAGCCAGGGUGCGGAUUGGCAGAAGCUAUUCUGGCCCAUGUGCAGAGCAUCAAGAAUGUGUGCUGCAAAAGAUCCCUAUCACGUCCUCGACUUUCCUGCAAGAGGCAGAUUAUUACAGUCCCCUGGGAGCCACUCAGGGGGAGUCUCAGGGCACAGAGGUUAUUUGAUUCAAUUACAAGAAAUCUGAUGAGUAUCUACAAGGAACUCAGAGCUGUGGGAGAAGAGAAAAAAGUGCAUGAAGUAAAGAAAAAGCAGGGAAUGAGAGAAAAAAAUGGAGGAGUGAGUGCCACAGCCCAGUCAGUAAGUGCUACAUGGAGUCUCACUCUGUCGCCAGGCUGGAGUGCAGUCAGCUCACUGCAACCUCCACCUCCCGGGUUCAAGAGAUUCUCCUGCCUCAGACUCCUGAGUAGCUGGGACUACAGAUAUUUAGAAAUUAUUACAGGAACUUUUUCUGGACAGACAAGAACCUAAGUCUGAACAUCUAAAAGGCUCACAAAGAAUCAAGCAAAUUUAUUGAAAGAGACCAAUACUUAUUAGACCUAUCUUCGUGAACUGAAGAUCGAGAAAAAAAUUCCAAGAGGCAUUUGGACAGAAAAGCAUGUUGACUCCACAGGAACAAAAAUCAAACUGCAUUCAAAAUUCUCCUCUGCAAUGUCUAAUAGCAGGAGAAAUAAAAUAGUACCAACAGAGCUUCAAGGGAAAAAGACUGCAUUCUAAGAAUCCUAUAUUUAGGAAGUUGUUCAAGUGAAAGGGUAAUGGAAGAAAUGUUCUUAGAUGUGCAACUCACUGUUAUAACCUUUUAAACAAAGCCCUCGAAGACCUGAUUUAACUGACAGUGAAUGAAUCUAAAUACAGAGCUGUGGGAUGUGAGAGUCACAUCAGUGACCACUGAAACAAGUAUAAAGAAAAUUAAGUCUAGAUGAUUGUUUUACAUAUAAUUAUAAAACAGAAUAAAAGUGUAAAACGCAACUCUUGGAAGAGGAUAUUUAUAGUAUAAAAAUGGCCUAAUUAUAAUAAUUUGAACCUAAUGUUUUGCCGCACAAAAAUAGAAAUGAAGGAGAUAGAAUGGUAGGAGAAAACACUUAUUUCCUCAUUAUUCCCAAGAGGGAUAUUAUUUAACUCUUGAUAAAGAUAACUGGAAAUACAAACAGGAUGUAUCCUUUCUAAAUUACUAAAAAAAAAAAAAAACAAAAAAAACAAAGAAAAUAAAUUCCAUGUAACAAUCAUACUUUAUGUAACACACUGAAGUUUUUGGUCUUUAAUCUUCUUAUCUCCAGAGAUUGCUGUGACUCCUCGUCCACUCUGUAUCAUAGCAUCACCUCCAGUAUCAUUAAUGCAAGGCACCCCAUUUCUGACCACAGCUUCCUUCUUUUCCUUCUUGGCUUUAUUUUUAUUUCUUUAUUUAUUUUUGAGACGGAGCCUCGCUCUGUUGGCCCAGGUUAGAGUGCAGUGCCAUGAUCUCAGCUCACUGAAACCUCCACCUCUCAGGUUCAAGCAAUUCUCCAGCCUCAGCCUCCUGAAUAGCUAGGAUUACAGGCACCUGCCACCAUGCCUGGCUAAUUUUAGUAUUUUUAGUAGAGACAGGGUUUUGCCACGUUGGCCAGGUUGGUCUUGAACUCCUGACCUCAGAUGACCUGCCUGCCUUAGCCUCCCAAAGUGCUGGGAUUACAGACAUGAGCCACUGAGCCUGGCCACGUUCUUGGCUUUUUAAUUGCAACCAUUGAAAUAGAUCUUGAUUUCACUGUGACCUCUAGCUUCUUUAUCUUCAAUUUGCCCCAUCCUUCAGCCGUCCCCUUUCUUUAGUUUUCUACCUGUCCAGGUUAGAUUUCAGGGUCCAUUGUUUCAGCGAUAGUACUGCCAAAAUCCUAAACUCCCUCGCCCCUUUGGGCUUUUGUCAGACCCCAUCUGGCCGAAGACCAUUCCCAGAGCAACCCACACUGUGUGCUGUCUCUCUUCUUGUAUUUAAGCAGCUGGAGAAAAACACAACAGAGCAGAUUGUACCAUCAUAUAUUCAUGAGCAUCCAUUCUGAAUGGGCACCACAGUGCCAGAAUCCUUCAGAUAUCUCUGGUCAAUCUAUAGUCCAGCAAUCCACAAUGACCAUUCCAGAUCUUCUCUAGCUUCCUUAAAUGCCCAACUUUCCUACCCAUCAACGGAUGCCUUUAUUUCAUAUUUCACAGAGAUAAUAGACACUGUCACAUAAGGCCACUCCCCCCACUCCACACCCCCAAAUCCUGCUACCAAACUCACUAACAUAACAGCAUCUGUACCCAUCUGGUCCUCCUUCCUGCCUAUUCCAUAGAGGAGCUGUUUUUCUUUCUGAAAGAGAUCAAUUCCUCACAUGUGCUUUAGACCCCAUCUCCUUUCUCCUUCGCAGGAAUCUUAUAAUUUAGGUGGUUCUGUAUCUCCUGAAUAUCCAAUCUCUUUUCAACCUCAUCAAUUGCUUCAAAUUGUAAACAUUAAGCAAAUUAUAUUCAGCUUUCAAAAAAAAAGGGAGGAAAUCCUGUCAUUUGGGACAACAUGGAUGAAACUAGAGGACGUUAUGGAAAAUGAAAUAAAGCAGACAUGGAAAGAAAAAUACUACAUGAUCUGACUUACAUGUGGAGUGUGAAAAAGAACUCAGAAGCAGGAAGUAGAAUGGUGGUUACCAGGGGUCUUAAGGGGUUGGAGGGUUGGGAAGAUGUUGGUCAAAGGACACAACAUUUCAGGAGGAAUAAGUUCAAGAGAGCUAUUGUUUCACACGGGAACUAUGGUUAAUAACAAUGUAUUGCAUUCUUGGAAAUUGCCAAGAGAGUAGAUUUUAAGCGUUCUCACAACAAAAAUGAUUAGUAUGUGAGGUAAUGCAUAUGUUACUCAGCUUAAUGUAGCCAUUCCACAGUAUGUACAAGUUUCAAAGCAACAUGUUGUAUAUAAUAAAUACAUAUAACUUUGGCAAUCAAAUCAAAUAAAUAAAAGAAAAUAAAAAUAAAUGGAGAGAUAUUAUAAAAAUUCUACUGCAUUAAUAGUCACUAAUUCCAGUGCUUUGUAUUCCUUUGUGGAAAGGUUUUCCAAUCGUGUGGCACUAUUGACUUUUUUUUUUUUUUUGGUGACGGAGUCUCGCUCUGUCACUCAGGCUGGAGUGCCGUAGCAUGAUCUCAGCUCAUUGCCAUCUCUGCCUCCCCGGGUUCAAGCCAUUCUCCUGUGUCAGCCUCCUGAG
rnacentral:lncRNA from 10 species